GUCAACAUAGCUUAACUGGUAAAGCCGGGCCUCAUGACAGCAUAGCUGCGGGUUUAGUUGCGGGUUCAAAUCCUGCUGUUGGCGA
rnacentral:tRNA from 1 species